CGUAGGGUGCGAGCGUUAAUCGGAAUUACUGGGCGUAAAGCGUGUGCAGGCGGUCUGUUAAGACAGGUGUGAAAUCCCCGGGCUUAACCUGGGAAUGGCGCUUGUUACUGGCAGACUAGAGUGCGUCAGAGGGGGUGGAAUUCCACGUGUAGCAGUGAAAUGCGUAGAGAUGUGGAGGAACACCGAUGGCGAAGGCAGCCCCCUGGGAUGACACUGACGCUCAUACACGAAAGCGUGGGGAGCAAACAGGAUUAGAUACCCUGGUAGUCCACGCCCUAAACGAUGUCAACUGGUUGUUGGGUGACUUGAUCACUUAGUAACGUAGCUAACGCGUGAAGUUGACCGCCUGGGGAGUACGGUCGCAAGAUUA
rnacentral:rRNA from 1 species